rnacentral:rRNA from 1 species
AGUAACGCGUAAGAACUUGCCCUUUAGACUGGGAUAACAGAGGGAAACUUCUGAUAAUACUGGAUAAGUUAGUAUAUCGCAUGAUAUACAAAUGAAAGCUACGGCACUAAAGGAGAGCUUUGCGUCCUAUUAGCUAGUUGGUAAGGUAAGAGCUUACCAAGGCGAUGAUAGGUAGCCGGCCUGAGAGGGUGGACGGCCACAAGGGGACUGAGAUACGGCCCUUACUCCUACGGGAGGCAGCAGCU